rnacentral:rRNA from 1 species
CCUACGGGAGGCAGCAGUGGGGAAUAUUGCACAAUGGGGGAAACCCUGAUGCAGCGACGCCGCGUGAGUGAUGAAGUAUUUCGGUAUGUAAAGCUCUUUCUGUAGGGAAGAAAAUGACGUUACCUGUCCAAUAAUCCCCGUCUAACUAAGUGCCAGCAACCGCGGUAAUACGUCGGGGGCAAGCGUUAUCCGGAUUUACUGGGUGUAAAGGGAGCGUAUACGGCAGGGCAAGUCUGGAGUGAAAGGCGGGGGCUCAACCCCGGGAUUGCUCUGGAAACUGCCAGGCUGGAGUGCAGGAGAGGUAAGUGGAAUGCCGCGUGUAGCGGUGAAAUGCGUAGAUAUUAGGAGGAACACCAGUGGCGAAGGCAGCUUACUGGACUGUAACUGACGUUGAGGCUCGAAAGCGUGGGGAGCAAACAGGAUUAGAUACCCUUGUAGUC